UUGCAGCUUGUCAAAAUAGUUAUUUGAAAUGAUUUAAUUACCAAAAGAAUGGACAGAGAAGUUCUUUGCGAAAGUUUAAUUGUCUGGUUGGAGACAUUUAAUCUGGAUGUUCCUCACGGCAACGCAGAAGAGCUCAGUGAUGGAAUUGCCAUGUCAAAGGUGCUGCAUCAAAUUGCCCCUGACUAUUUCACGGACUCAUGGCUGAGCAGGGUAAAAACUGAGGAUGUGACCAACUGG